rnacentral:rRNA from 1 species
GUGGAUAAGCUUGGGAAACUGGGUCUAAUACCGGAUAGGACCGCACUUUAGUGUGUGUGGUGGAAAGUUUUUUCGGUGUAGGAUGAGCUCGCGGCCUAUCAGCUUGUUGGUGGGGUAAUGGCCUACCAAGGCGGCGACGGGUAGCCGGCCUGAGAGGGUGUACGGCCACAUUGGGACUGAGAUACGGCCCAG